AAGAAAGACAUAAGCAUCUCCAACAAAUCAAAUCCAGCCUUGGUUUGGCUUGGUCCAUUGUCAAACAUUGCUAGAAUCAUUGGAUGUGAAAGUAGUUGUGCCAAACUUCGGACCAAAGGAAUAUAGUAAAAGCAUAUUUUUCUUAUUCUUACAGCUUGUGAGGCUCCUCUACUCCUAAAGGAUGCAGUCUGGGAAAUUUCAAUUUCUUGGGCUUCAACUACUUUGAACUGAUUUUUAGAUUUGAAUCUUGCAUAUAUGUGGUGGAAACUGUGUCAAAAGGGUAUUCAAAAUUAUUAAAAAUGUCCAGAACGUCACUCAUCAGUUGAUCGCUCACCCCUGAUUGUCUGUGAAUAAUAUCUAGGGAAGUCGUGGCCUAAUGGUUAGAGGGUUGGACUCCCAAUCGAAGGGUUGUGGGUUCUAGUCUUGGGCCGGACGGAAUUGUGGGUGGGGGGAGUGCAUGUACAGUUCUCUCUCCACCUUCAAUACCACGACUUAGGUGCCCUUGAGCAAGGCAUCGAACCCCCAACUGCUCCCCGGGCGCUGCAGCAUAAAUGGCUGCCCACUGCUCCGGGUGUGUGCUCACAGUGUGUGUGUGUGUUCACUGCUCUGUGUGUGUGCAUUUCGGAUGGGUUAAAUGCAGAGCACAAAUUCUGAGUAUGGGUCACCAUACUUGGCUGAAUGUCACUUCACUUU